UCGAUUCCCUUAGUAGCGGCGAGCGAAACGGGAAGAGCCCAAACCAACAAGCUUGCUUGUUGGGGUUGUAGGACACUCUAUACGGAGUUACAAAGGACGACAUUAGACGAAUCAUCUGGAAAGAUGAAUCAAAGAAGGUAAUAAUCCUGUAGUCGAAAAUGUUGUCUCUCUUGAGUGGAUCCUGAGUACGACGGAGCACGUGAAAUUCCGUCGGAAUCUGGGAGGACCAUCUCCUAAGGCUAAAUACUCUCUAGUGACCGAUAGUGAACCAGUACCGUGAGGGAAAGGUGAAAAGCACCCCGGAAGGGGAGUGAAAUAGAACCUGAAACCGUGUGCUUACAAGUAGUCAGAGCCCGUUAAUGGGUGAUGGCGUGCCUUUUGUAGAAUGAACCGGCGAGUUACGAUUUGAUGCAAGGUUAAGCAGUAAAUGUGGAGCCGUAGCGAAAGCGAGUCUGAAUAGGGCGUUUAGUAUUUGGUCGUAGACCCGAAACCAGGUGAUCUACCCUUGGUCAGGUUGAAGUUCAGGUAACACUGAAUGGAGGACCGAACCGACUUACGUUGAAAAGUGAGCGGAUGAACUGAGGGUAGCGGAGAAAUUCCAAUCGAACCUGGAGAUAGCUGGUUCUCUCCGAAAUAGCUUUAGGGCUAGCCUCAAGUGAUGAUUAUUGGAGGUAGAGCACUGUUUGGACGAGGGGCCCCUCUCGGGUUACCGAAUUCAGACAAACUCCGAAUGCCAAUUAAUUUAACUUGGGAGUCAGAACAUGGGUGAUAAGGUCCGUGUUCGAAAGGGAAACAGCCCAGACCACCAGCUAAGGUCCCAAAAUAUAUGUUAAGUGGAAAAG
rnacentral:rRNA from 1 species